CCUUCUCUCUCCUUCCUCUCCUCUGGUUCAACCUAACUCUAUUUUCCCGGCUCUCUCUCUUCCCCUCUCUGGUUUCUCUCCUUCACCUCUCUGGUUCUUCUCUGGGCGCGAAAUUCAAACUUCCUGCCACACCGCACUGUUGUUCCCCCACCGCCGCAUCGCCGCAGAUGUUCCCUCACCGCUCACCGCUGUUGUUCCCCCACUGUUGCGUCCCUGCUGUUCCACACCGCCGCGUCGCUCCUCCUUGUAUCUUAUAGGAGCUCAGGAACAAUAUUGCUUCCACUAUGAAACCUAAUGAUUCUCUUCUUAGAUUCGGUUCCAGUAAUGCUGAGUUUUUGGAUAAAGGUAGUGCAUGUUAAGAUAAUCAAGCUAGCGCUACGACUUGCGUACAUCAAUCUCAAUGGCUUCAGUCUACUAUCUCAGAGCUUUGCUUUUACAGAGGAAAUCCACGCUUUGCACAGGCUAUCAGUUCCGUGUUCGGGUUGCUUUAUUCUGGCAAUCUGCCUUGUUCCUGGGUCAAGGUUCAAUGUGGUUUAUCACUACCAGCCCUGAACACGAACCGAGACUCCACCAUAAGAAUCCUCCAGCUUUUUCAGGUUUUUUGUAUUUCAUUCCUUUCCCAAGAUUGUCAUGUUGCUAGUAAAUCGUUUCUCACCUUAUCUAUUAUUGCACCUUUUAUCAAACUUUCAGGGGAGUCCAGGGAUGUUACAACAUUAAUGCAGAAAAAA